ACUGUCUCUAGAGGCAUGCAGAUCGCUGCUUUGUCACACAUUCAUCAGUAUGUGCCAGAGAGGUUAUGACGCUCAGUGUUCUGACCUAUGAACACUGGGAUGAUUAGCAGUCUAACAGU
ensembl:snoRNA Gm24884 predicted gene, 24884